rnacentral:rRNA from 1 species
AUGGCAUGUAAUAGAGCCCCUGGACCAGAUAACAUCCCGACAGAAUUCUAUAGUCACUGCUGGGAGUUUGUGAAAAAUGACAUAAUGCGCCUGUUUGACGCAUUUCAUAAAAACACUCUCGAUGUAGAGCGCCUGAACUACGGGGUUAUCACUUUGAUCCCCAAACUGAAUGGAGCGAAAAUAAAACAAUACCGCCCUAUCUGCCUUCUGCGGUGCCCCUACAAGCUUAUUACUAAAGUGUUGGAUAAUAGGGUGGCUAUUUUUGCUGAUAAGCUGAUCAGCAUUCACCAGAAUGCCUUCAUCAAACAUAGGGACAUUGUGGAUCGCAUCCUUAAAUUGCAUGAUAUAUCGCACCACACCUACCACAAGAAAAAGAUGGGGAUUGUCCUGAAGUUGGACUUUGAAAAGGCCUAUGACAAAAUCAAUAGGGAUUUCCUGUUAGAUUGUCAUCGGGACCGAGGGUUUGGGCCUACAUGGUGCGGUUGGAUUCAAAAAACUGUGAAGGGACUAUCUAUUUACUUUGAUGUUGUGUCAUCACCUUCUAAAAUAAGCGCCAGAACCUGA